ACCUGGGUGGCUCAAUCAGUUAAGCAUCUGACUGCAGCUCAGGUCAUGAUCUCACAGUUCGUGGGUUCGAGCCCCACAUCGGGUU
rnacentral:tRNA from 1 species